rnacentral:rRNA from 1 species
GCAGGCUGCAACCCGCCUGCAUGAAGUCGGAAUUGCUAGUAAUCGCGGAUCAGCAUGCCGCGGUGAAUACGUUCCCGGGCCUUGUACACACCGCCCGUCACACCAUGGGAGUCGGUAACACCCGAAGCCGAUAGUCUAACGAAAGAGGACGUCGUCGAAGGUGGGAUUGAUGACUGGGGUGAAGUCGUAACAAGGUACC